CGUUAAACCACCGGUUCUCGUCCAAUCACCAAAGUUAAGCAACGUCGAGCCUGGUCAGUACCUAAAUGGGUGACUACUUGAAAAUACUAGGUGCU